CUGAAAAACACUGCAGUAUUUGAGGCGCUAAGCUUGGAGGAUGAGGGUGUGGGAGAGGACGCCUUCUUGGCUCCUUGGAGUGGACUGGCAGCCUCAGGGCCCGCCUGGCAGGACUACUGAGCAAGGCCUUGGAAAACCGGAGCGAUUAGAGCGGUUCAAACAAUACAGAAGUGUAUAAAGUAAGAAUUGAAAGUCUCUUCGCUGCUCUAAUCUCACUCCUCAGAGGUGAUCACUGGACCUCAGUGAGCAGAAGGCUUUUCAGAAUUACAGCCUAAACUAUUUCUUGAGCAAUUUGGGAACUCAUUUCUAAAGCAGUCUUCAGAUUCACACAACAUAGUCUGUGAUGGGUUAUGUCCAGAGCUGUGUGGAAGAUGAUCAAACUAUGACAUUUCUUCUACCCCAGAGGUUGGCAUUUCUGCAGGCACAAAUGAGCUUGGUUUUCAAGCACCAGUCUUUGAACACGAGGAAUUCCUUUAAUGAUCACGCCGGACUAUAUAGACUUCGGAAUCAGACUCUUUGAAUUCCAGCUCUGCCAUUUACCAACUUUGACACUUUGGACAGGGUCUCGUUCUGUCACCCAGGCUGGAGUGAAGUGGCACAAUUAUAGCUCACUGCAGCCUCAAACGCCUGGGCUCAAGCAAUCCUCCUACCUCUGCCUCCUGAGUACAAGUGUGUGCCACCAUGCCCAGCUAACUUUUAAUUUUUAAUUUUUUUGUAGAGAUGGGGGUCUUGCUAUGUCACCCAGGCUCGUCUUGAACACCUGGCCUCAAGUGAUCCUCCGGCCUCGGUCUCUCAAAGCUCUGGGAUUACAGACAUGAGCCACUGCACCCGGCUCUGUCUCCCCUUCCUAUGUGUGUUAGCUCUAGAGCAAGAGAAGCCUUGUUGAGAUUCAUGGCUGCCCACCCCCCAUCACCUCUCUGACUUUGGGCAAGUUGCCUGGUCUCUCUCAGCCUUUAUUUUCUUUUUGUGAAAUGGAGAUAAUAAUAGUACUUGCCUCAUAGGCACAAUGUUGUGAGAACUAAACGAGAAAAUGCAUGUAAAGCACUUGGCACUUAGUUCUUUUUAUGAUUAUAAUGAUAAUCAGACAAUAAAUUAUUUCUCACAUCA